GUGGGGAAUAUUGCGCAAUGGGGGAAACCCUGACGCAGCGACGCCGUGUGAGGGAAGAAGGCUUUCGGGUCGUAAACCUCUGUCAGAAAGGAAGAACCUCCCAAGUCCGAAUAGGGCUUGGGACUGACGGUACUUUCAAAGGAAGCACCGGCUAACUCCGUGCCAGCAGCCGCGGUAAUACGGAGGGUGCAAGCGUUAAUCGGAAUCACUGGGCGUAAAGCGCGCGUAGGCCGCUUUGUAAGUCGGACGUGAAAGCCCUCGGCUCAACCGGGGAACUGCGUUCGAUACUGCGAGGCUUGAGUCCUGGAGAGGGUGGUGGAAUUCCGGGUGUAGGAGUGAAAUCCGUAGAUAUCCGGAGGAACACCGGUGGCGAAGGCGGCCACCUGGACAGGUACUGACGCUGAGGCGCGAAAGCGUGGGGAGCAAACAGGAUUAGAAACCCCAGUAGUCC
rnacentral:rRNA from 1 species